rnacentral:rRNA from 1 species
UCUGGUGAUUUGAGCGAAGGGGAAACACCCGGCUCCAUUCCGAACCCGGAAGUUAAGCCCUUCAGCGCCGAUGGUACUGAGGAGGGAAACCCCUCGGGAGAGUAGGUCAUCGCCAGGG